rnacentral:tRNA from 1 species
GUGGAUGGGGCUCCAUGUAAUCAGUCUUCCAAACUGAUUACGCGGGUUCGAUUCCCGUCAUCCGCUCCA